rnacentral:rRNA from 1 species
CUGGCGGCGUGCCUAACACAUGCAAGUCAACGGGGUGAAGAGCUUCGGCUUUUCACUUAGUGGCGGACGGGUGAGUAACGCGUGAGCAACCUGCCUUACAGAGGGGGGACAACAUUGGGAAACCGAUGCUAAUACCGCAUAACGAUUUUUAAGGCAUCUUAGAAAUACCAAAGGAGCAAUCCGCUGUAAGAUGGGCUCGCGUCCGAUUAGAUAGUUGGCGGGGUAAACGGCCCACCAAGUCGACGAUCGGUAGCCGGACUGAGAGGUUGAACGGCCACAUUGGGACUGAGACACGGCCCAGACUCCUACGGGAGGCAGCAGUGGGGGAUAUUGCACAAUGGGGGAAACCCUGAUGCAGCAACGCCGCGUGAGGGAAGAAGGUUUUUCGGAUUGUAAACCUCUGUUUUUAGUGAAGAAACAAAUGACGGUAGCUAAAGAGGAAGCCACGGCUAACUACGUG